CCUANGGGGGGCUGCAGUGGGGAAUAUUGGGCAAUGGGCGAAAGCCUGACCCAGCCACGCCGCGUGAGUGAUGAAGGCCUUCGGGUCGUAAAGCUCUGUGGGGAGGGACGAACAAGUGCGCAUCCAAUACAUGCGUGCCCUGACGGUACCUCCUUAGCAAGCACCGGCUAACCAUGUGCCAGCAGCCGCGGUAAUACAUGGGGUGCAAACGUUGCUCGGAAUUAUUGGGCGUAAAGCGCGCGUAGGCGGUUACUUAAGUCGGAUGUGAAAGCCCUUGGCUUAACCGAGGAAGUGCAUCCGAGACUGAAUAGCUAGAGUACGAAAGAGGGUCGCGGAAUUCCCGGUGUAGAGGUGAAAUUCGUAGAUAUCGGGAGGAACACCGGCGGCGAAGGCGGCGACCUGGUUCGAGACUGACGCUGAGGCGCGAAAGCGUGGGGAGCAAACAGGAUUAGAUACCCCUNUANUC
rnacentral:rRNA from 1 species